rfam:Drosophila persimilis strain MSH-3 cont1.002683, whole genome shotgun sequence.
GGAGUUCCAUCGCCGCAAACUUCCUCGGGUCAUGGCUGUACUUUUUCAAAACCCCAUGGCCCGAGGAUGUUGCCUGUGAUCCAGCUCA